ACAGGCAUUCCGAAAAAUCGCAUCUGUGUGUGUGUAUGGUUUGACCACUGCCGGGCACCAAGCUGAAUGCUGAGUCUCAUGGGCGUGAGACAAGGUUGUUGAGGAAGUCAUUGUACUCAGACAUGACACAGUCAGCUUUUACACACCUGAGCAGUGGAGACACCUGCAAGAGAGAAAGAAAGGGAAGAGGGAGAAAGAGAUUUGUUGUCUCACAUAUUUCUGUAUUCAUUGGUUGUUUCUUAUAUGUGCCCUGACUAAGGAUUGAACCCACAACCUUGACAUAUUGGGAUGAUACUCUAACCAAUUGAGCUACCUGGCCAGGGUUUCAUUUCCUAUUUAUUAAUACAGUGUGAACCGAACCCAGGACUCUAGUCCACAGGCUGAUGC